rnacentral:lncRNA from 1 species
AGAAAAGUUUCCUAAGUAUAGCGUCCCCUCAAAAAUAUGAGGGCUCGAAUUAACCCCCUAAAUCCUUUUUAUCAAAGUCAGCCAAGCCUGGGGAUGGUAAAUUGAUUAUGUGGCCAACCCCAGCAGUGCAGGCUCUUAAAGCAGUUGGAGAAAUUAUGGGAAAGGGCUCAGAGGGAAGUGCAGAAAAAGGACAGAGCUAGCAAAACUACUGACAUGGAAAUCUCCCAGAGCUCAACGUUUGAGCACAGUUCUGCUGAAUCUACAACAUUCGCACCAGAAUUUGGGAAGACUCGGGUCUUAUGGGGAGACUGAUUCAGCUUUGAGAAACAGAAAGAAAAAAAAUGUCAAAAAAUGUAAAUGGAAAGCAAAAUCUACCAGAUUCACUAACAAGUCGGGAUGCCAUCUGCCAAAGUGUCUUCCAGAGUGCUUUUAUUUAUGGCUGACUUUCAAAACUUUGCAAAUGAAGUAGCAUAAUGGAAAUGUUGGCACCACCUUAUCUUUUUCUACACUAAUGCAGAGCCAUAUGAACACACUAGGGAUUCAUGGGUGUAAAACUUUGACCCCGUGGAAGCCCAGCUGGGAAUCAACAAACAUUCUUUUGUCUCAAUUUUUUUCUUAGAACUUCCUUGGGUUUAUUAGUAAUCAACCUCACCAUUAUUUUACCUAUCUGGAAUGAUGUUCAUCCCAAAAUAUACUCAUGACCUGGACACAGUACCCAUUUGUUGUUUUGUUCUAUGAGGAGCAAAAAACGCUAUAGCAGAGGACUUCCACAUCCCAUUUAACAAAUACCAGCUCCUUGAACAGGAAGGUGCAUUAACAAGAAGGUGUAAAAAGUCAUGACAGAGCCAAUGAAGGAAUCUCCAGUGAAAUAUUUUGGAAUGGGUAAGACAUGUAUGUGCAGACAGGGAAAUCACCUUCUGAAAGUGACUUCUCUCCACUCUUUGUAAACAAGCUUGGAAAACUUGCUCAGCCUGCAGUAUCUCCCUCGUAGACAUCUAAGAUUAGGGUAGGAGGAAACACUGAAGAAGUGUGAGAGUUAUACUUUAAUUGUGCUCCGCAAAAUGGGAAAUUAACAACAAUGCCUACUAAGAGCCACAGAAGCAGCCGAAUUAGAUGGAUUAGCUGACAGUUCAUUUCCUCUUUCUCUCUAUGGUGCUUUUAACUUGAAUCAUUCAUACCCAGAAUGUACAAUGCCACUUACAGAAGCACACCAUUCCUUCUUCUGGAAUGGUUCAUGAUGGCUGUUUCACAGCAAACACUAAGGCUAUGCAGAACCUCUGAAGCACAGUGCUGCAAGUAAAGGUCUGUGAUUUUCUGUUUGGUUCAAUGGCUUACUCCUAAGAGGGACAUGAAUGAUUAAUACAAUAACGUAGUUCAUCCCUGCCACAAACAAACAAACAAGCGAAUCCUUUUUCAUGUGACAUUUCUAACAGAGUCAAAGCCUUUGGUGGAAAACCCAUAAAAGAAUCCACAAACUAAAAGAGAAAUCACUACUGUAGGGGGAGUGGUGAGGUGGCAGUGAAAUAGAAACUGGUCAGGAUCUAAGAAUUAAUGAUGCUGACAGUUUAUAACUUUGUAUUUCAGGAAGUGUGUUUCUCCCCAUUUGUCCCCAUUGGCUGCAGUGGCCAUACCCACAGCAUAAGGCUCCAGACCCCGACCGCUUAGACCUUAUCGCUUGCUGACACUUUUUCCUGCAGCAUAUUGGAUUCUUUCUAAGCAUCUGUUUGCACAUAAAGAUGUGUUGAAAAGACUGUGGUUAUUCAUUUACUCACAUUUUGACAUGGCAUUGCUGAGUGGUUAUAUUAGCAAGGCUGAUGAGUUUUCUCUACAAAGGGAAGCCCCAUGGAACGACAUGAAAUAGGCACUGCUACAAUUUUGCUGGAAAGAAAGAGGGGAAAAAUUCAGACCCCAAAAACAAGUCAGCUCAUGGCAUGUCUCCACCCAGCAACAGAAAGGAUGAACAAGUCCUAAUUAAGGCAAUGAGUUCACAGAGCAACAGGCAGUACCAAAGGGCCUAAGAGCAGCAUGUCUGAAUUCAUGCGCCUGAAGGUGUAAAACCAUUUUUCCUUUGGAAUGGAGGCGGCUUGGGCACAGCACUGAAUGGUCACAGGUGGCGUUUCUUCUGUGCUCACACUAGGUAGAGGUGGAGGCUGUGAAACAUGUAGUGACAUGGAGUCCAAGAAAUCUGUCUUCAGCUCCAGGUAACCAAUUUACCAUAUGCAAAAAAAAAACAACUCCACAGUUGUAUACAGAAACUAAAAAAAUAAUAAAAACAAAACAAAACAAAAAAAACUCCA